AACUAAUGAGCUUGUUAAAGCAUAUAUUUUGAAAAUAUAGUAAAGAGAUAAAAUUCUCUAUUAGUUU
rnacentral:tRNA from 1 species